AAUGUGUAUGUUGCCCUUAUGCGUAAGAGAAACUCAUUACGUGUAUCGUCUUGCACUAUUACUCGUACCAUACGAGUUCCACCAGAAAGAAGAAUAAAACAAGCUUCUGCCCAUACGCGUAAGGGCAUGCUUGAGAUGCCACCAUAUGGGCUUACGCGUAGUGUAUUACUGCAAGGAAUAAGGCAUUAUGCGUAUGAUACAAGUCAUUACGCGUAAGGGCAUGCCUGAGAUGCCAC
rnacentral:lncRNA from 1 species